rnacentral:RNase_P_RNA from 1 species
CGAGCCGGGCGGACGGCCGCGUGGGGUUCCUUCGUGAGCCUCCCGAGGAACGUCCGGGCUCCACAGGGCAGGGUGGUGGCUAACGGCCACCCGGGGUGACCCGCGGGACAGUGCCACAGAAAACAAACCGCCCAGCACUCAGGUGCUGGGUAAGGGUGAAACGGCGGUGUAAGAGACCACCAGUGCCCAGGGUGACCUGGGCAGCUAGGUAAACCCCACCCGGAGCAAGGUCAAGAGGGAGCACCCCGGUGCUCCUGCGCGGACGUUCGAGGGCUGCCCGCCCGAGUCCGCGGGUAGACCGCACGAGGCCGGCGGCAACGCCGGUCCUAGAUGGAUGGCCGUCGCCGGAGGCUCCGCGAGGAGCCCCCGGAACAGAACCCGGCGUACAGCCCGACUCGUCUG